UAUCUACUCCCUCCGUUCGGAAUUACUUGUCUCGGAAACGGAUGUUCUAGAACUAAAAUAUGUCUAGAUACAUCCAUUUCUACGAUAAGUAAUUCCGAAAGGAGGGAGUACAAU
rfam:Triticum aestivum genome assembly, contig: Triticum_aestivum_CS42_TGACv1_scaffold_288895_4AL